rnacentral:snRNA from 1 species
GUCCCGUCUGGGACAUCUGAUAAAAUUGAAAUGAUACAAAGAAGAUUAGCACAAUCGUUCCUGUGCAAUGAUGACAUGCAGAAAUCGAGAAAUGGUUCAAAUAACU